rnacentral:rRNA from 1 species
AUGGCGCCCGAAGCUACAAAGGGCAUGGCCGGCGAAGCUGCGUCCAUGAUCGGAGCUGCGUCCAGGGCCGGUGAAGUUGCUUCCAUGGUCGGAGCUGCGUCCAUGGCCGGCGCCACGCAAUACUAUGAUGCUGUGACAGGAGGCCACUCCCCUGGCCAUGGAUCUUUUGUUGUUGCUGGAAACAGUAAAUUUUUUUGCUACCACCGGGUUGAUUUUUUGCUGGAACUAGUAUUCAUUCUUGUUACCACUGUCUCUGUUUUUGUUGGAAGCAACACAUUUUUGCUACCACCGUAUUUGAGUUUUGCUGAAACGAGCGCUUAG